CUGCGGUCCUCUGCCCCGCACGGCGGCAGGACGCGUCUGCGGGGCUGGCUUUGAGAGCCGGCGUGUCCUUUGGGGUAUGAGAGGCGCGAAGGCUGGAGGAGGGGGAUGCGAAUGCAGAGGGGCACGGGAGGUGUCUGGAAGUGUUUCCGCUUUUUUCCCUCCUGGUCUGAAUGUAGCGGUAACAAACGUGUCUGCCCGGGGGAGUGCCGUGUGUGUGCGUGCGUGCGUGCAUUGGGGUGCCCGAGCACCGACCGCGCGAGGGUCACCAGCGCGUUUCUGCCUGUGAAAUCGAUACGACUUCUGUGCGCCCGCACCGCCGUCAAAGCGACCUGGAAAGCAAAGAGCGAACUGAGCGCGCCUAGCGGUGCGGGAGCUGCUACGUAACCUGAGGGGAUGCAUCCCAGCCUCUGGAGAACGGGUGCCCGAAGCCUGUCAAACCGAGGGAGCCGCAGUAAACGCCGCAAGAAGUGUCCGACGGGUGCGAGCCUCGCGGUCGGCCCUUCUAGCGCAGCCCGUCGCCGAAGGAGGGCGGGCAGGAGACCCGGCAGCGGCCGCCCGGUCAUCGCCUUGCCCGCGGCCGGUGCAUCACAGGUGAAAUGUCAACGGGAUACAAAUGAAAAGUUUUUUUAUAAUGCUUUCUCCCAUGGUUGGAGAAGAAACUUCUAAUUAGAAGGUCUACAGUGAAGGAAGACAUUCAUCCCUGCCACUGCUUGAAACAGGAAGAAAUGCAGUUUUUGUUGCGUUUUUUUUGGUUUUUUUUUUUUUUUUUGAGUGUGUGUGUACAGAUUUUCCAGAGUACCUUAAUGUAGUGUGUUUCCAUAAGGCUUAAGAAGUGUGUCUUGACAGAGCAGGAUUAUGGUCACUUUUUACAGACCAACGUGUUAUUUUCAUGUGUGCAGAGGUCUCUGCUUUUCAUCAAAAGUCCAGACUGGGUAGAGGUCUUGGACUGAGUCCUUUCUUGUUAACUGCAAGCUUAUCCUUCCUCCUUCUAAAAAAUGCAUGGCUUUAGACUGUAAGCAUUCAUGAAAUUGAUUAGAGUAUUGAGUCACCUAAGUAUCCAGAGAAAUAUUUCAAGCACUGCUGCUCUUGCAUUCUUAAAUCACAGUGAUUAUGACACUUGGGUUUUAUCUGUUACUGGUUCUGCAAAGAUAAAUUACCUUGGAUAUGCUAACAAAAACAACCACUUUCUAAAUUUGAGUAGCAAUGCCUCACAAAACUUGGUAAGAAUGAUUAACGUGUACACUGGUAGAGAACUAUUCUGUAUGAUCCAGUAUUCAGGUAAUACUCUAAGUUCAUACAGUACUGCUUGUGAUUUUACAGGACUCAUUAAAUAAGAGGGAGAAACAAAAUCACUGCAAAGCUGGUACCAUUAAUUUUAACUUUGGUACCUACUACCUACUAUCUUGAUAGUGUUCUUGAUGGUGUUCUUGACAUUGCUAAUGUUAGUUCCAAAAUUAUAGCUUAGGAAGCUGUAUCUACGCAGCAAAACAAAAUAAACUGCUUUUUAAUUAACAGCAGUCUAAUUAACAAGUACCUAAAGUCAAAGUGUGUGUUACAAAGCUUUCUUUGUUGAUCCAACUGAGCUAUGAGCUGUUAAAGGUCCUAGCUGCAGUAUGUCAGCUCUUCACACAGCAGCAAUUUGGUGUCUUCCCCCUGGAGUGCCUUUUACAAGGUACAGAUGAGGAUCUUUAGGCAGCCAGUACAUAGAAAAGAUAUUGGGCUUCAGUGUACAUCUGUGUUUUCAUGGCUA